GCAAGUCGAACGAGAACGGUCCUUCGGGAUGUCAGCUAAGUGGCGGACGGGUGAGUAAUGUAUAGUUAAUCUGCCCUUUAGAGGGGGAUAACUACUGGAAACGGUAGCUAAUACCCCAUACUCCUUUUGCUGUAAUGGUAAUUGGGAAAUGUUUUUUCGCUAAAGGAUGAGACUAUAUGGUAUCAGGUAGUUGGUGGGGUAAGAGCCUACCAAGCCAAUGACGCCUAGCUGGUCUGAGAGGAUGAUC
rnacentral:rRNA from 1 species